CAUUACACACAGGAACAAUAAUAACUAUAGUGGUAAUAAUUGCAGUAAUAACAAAAGCAAUAUCAACAAAAGUAGUGUGAACAAAAGUAGUGUCAACAACAAUAACAUGAAAACUGUAAAGAAAGACUUUAAAGAGAGUUAUAAGAAACCCAUUUUGUAUAAUCACCGAAUAAAUAAUAACAAUAAAACAAAUAUAAAUACAGAUAAAAUAGAUACUAGAGUAGUAAAUAACAGUAUUAAGAAUGAAAGGUACAACAAUAAAACAUAUGUACAAAGUACUAAUAUACCAAAACAUAAAAACAAUCCUAAUAGCCAUUUAAAUACACUAAAUAGUUAUAAAAAAAUAAAUGUCUCGGAAAAAAAAGAUUAUAAUAAUAAGAAUAAUAAUAAUAACAGUAAUAAUAAUAAGAAUAAUUACAAUAGAAUAUUAACGAAAAAAACGCAACAAGAUGUAGAUCGUUCCAAUAUAAAACAUAAUAUACCUCCUCAAAAUCAACAACAUAUGAAAAAUAUAAAUUCUGUAACAAACACAACGAGCAAUAGUUUAUUAGAGGAGAAAGUAAAAGAACCCAACAGCUCAAAUUCAGAAUAUGAUGCGGAAAAAAUGAACGAAAAAUAUGUAAUAAAACAUACAGAUGAAUGUAGUGAUUUGUCAAAGGGAGAAGAAGCGUCUAUUUCUGGUGCAACUUUAUCUAUUGAAAUGGAGAAAAUAGAAAAUACAGUCGAGUCAACGGAUGAAGUGAGUGAUAAUACUAUUAGUAGAGAAACAACGGAAGAAGAGAGUGAGAAAGUAAAAGGAACACAAUUGCCACGUACUAUAAAUAUCGUAAAGCCAAAUAAACCUAUAUCGUCAUUUAAAAAAAUGAAUACACAAAAAGGAUUGGUGAAUAAAAUUGGUAAAACAGGUUUUGGUGCUUAUAAAACUGACAGUGCUGACAAAACGAAUAUUACUAGUAAUAACAAUAAUAGCGUAAAAGAUGUAUCCCAAAUAAAAAAUAAAUACAGUUCAAAUGUGACGCAGUCAUUUAGAUUGAACAAGAUAAAAUAUAAUAAUAGUGGCAAUGACAACAAACAUAGUAGCAAUAAUAUUAGUAGAAAUAAUACCAUUAGCAAUAAUACUAAUAACAACAAUAACGA
rnacentral:lncRNA from 1 species